rnacentral:rRNA from 1 species
GUGCCAGCCGCCGCGGUACUACGAAUGGGGCAAGCGUUGUUCGGAUUUACUGGGCGUAAAGCGGGCGUAGGCGGCCGGCUAAGUCGGAUGUGAAAUCCCGGGGCUCAACUCCGGAACUGCAUUCGAUACUGGUCGGCUAGAGUUCGAGAGGGGGUUGCGGAAUUCCGCGUGUAGCAGUGAAAUGCGUAGAUAUGCGGAGGAACACCUGAGGCGAAGGCGGCAUCCUGGAUCGACACUGACGCUGAGGCCCGAAAGCGUGGGGAGCAAACAGGAUUAGAUACCCUGGUAGUCCACGCCCUAAACGAUGUCUACUAGCCGUUGCGGGUAUCGACCCCUGCAGUGGCGCAGCUAACGCGAUAAGUAGACCGCCUGGGGAGUACGGCCGCAAGGUUAAAACUCAAAUGAAUUGACGGGG